GCCGGGCACGGUGGCGCGCGCCUGUAGUCCUAGCUACUCGGGAGGCUGAGUCAGGAGGAUCGCUUGAGUCCAGGAGUUCUGGGCUGCAGUGCGCUAUGCCGAUCGGGUGUCCGCACUAAGUUCGGCAUCAAUAUGGUGACCUCCCGGGAGCGGGGGACCACCAGGUUGCCUAAGGAGGGGUGAACCGGCCCAGGUCGGAAACGGAGCAGGUCAAAGCUCCCGUGCUGAUCAGAAUGUCAGAACAACCUACAAUCCUUUCAAUGGUCCUCACUGCCCCAAGGUCAAGUCCAGGGCCCUGCCCUCCUCCCCACUCA
rnacentral:SRP_RNA from 1 species